rnacentral:rRNA from 1 species
AUUGAACGCUGGCGGAAUGCUUUACACAUGCAAGUCGAACGGCAGCACGGACUUCGGUCUGGUGGCGAGUGGCGAACGGGUGAGUAAUGUAUCGGAACGUGCCCAGUCGUGGGGGAUAACGUAGUGAAAAUUACGCUAAUACCGCAUACGAUCUAUGGAUGAAAGCGGGGGAUCGCCAGACCUCGCGCGAUCGGAGCGGGCGGUAUCAGAUUAGGUAGUUGGUGGGGUAAAGGCCCACCAAGCCAACGAUCUGUAGCUGGUCUGAGAGGACGACCAGCCACACUGGAACUGAGACACGGUCCAGACUCCUACGGGAGGCAGCAGUGGGGAAUUUUGGACAAUGGGCGAAAGCCUGAUCCAGCCAUUCCGCGUGCAGGAUGAAGGCCCUCGGGUUGUAAACUGCUUUUGUACAGAACGAAAAGGUUUCUACUAAUACUAGGAGCUCAUGACGGUACUGUAAGAAUAAGCACCGGCUAACUACGUGCCAGCAGCCGCAGUAA